rnacentral:rRNA from 1 species
CAGCGCCACGAGUGGCAAUCGCGUUUAUUGGGCCUAAAGCGUUCGUAGCCGGUUUAGCAAAUCUUUUGUGAAAGCGUCAAGCUUAACUUGACGAGUGGCAGAAGACACUACUAAACUAGGGACCGGGAGGAGUCAGAAGUAUUCCGGGGGGACCGGUAAAAUGGUAUAAUCCCCGGAGGACUACCGAUGGCGAAGGCAUCUGACCAGAACGGAUCCGACGGUGAGGAACGAAAGCUAGGGGAGCAAACCGGAUUAGAUACCCGAGUAGUCC